rnacentral:rRNA from 1 species
CGAUAACGAACGAGACCUUAACCUGCUAAAUAGCCAGGCUUGCUCUUGCAGGUCGCCGGCUUCUUAGAGGGACUAUCGGCUCAAGCCGAUGGAAGUUUGAGGCAAUAACAGGUCUGUGAUGCCCUUAGAUGUUCUGGGCCGCACGCGCGCUACACUGACAGAGCCAACGAGUUCAUCACCUUGGCCGGAAGGUCUGGGUAAUCUUGUUAAACUCUGUCGUGCUUGGGGAUAGGGCAUUGCAAUG